CUCCCUAAUUGUCUCCUUAAUUUCCUCCUAAAGUCUCCUAAUUUCCUCCUAAUGUCUCCCUAAUUGUCUCCUUAAUUUCCUCCUAAAGUCUCCUAUCCCUAAUUCCCUCCUAAUGUCUCCCUAAUUGUCUCCUUAAUUUCCUCCUAAAGUCUCCUAUUUUCCUCCUAAUGUCUCCCUAAUUGUCUCCUUAAUCUCCUCCUAAAGUCUCCUAUUUUCCUCCUAAUGUCUCCCUAAUUGUCUCCUUAAUUUCCUCCUAAUGUCUCCCUAAUUCGUCUCCUAAUUUCCUCCUAAAUUCUCCGAGAUUUCAAGUUUGGUGUUUCAUAACAUUCAAUUCCAAACCACAACAAUUACUGCUUUCCGUAGUUGAUCAUUUUAGUUUUAUAAGAAUGUCAGCCAAUCACAGACCCUCUUACAUAAGUCGGACCAAUCAGCAACCAUCUCUCUAAUUAGGGAAAUUCCCGAAAUGGCAAUUCAAAAUGUAAACACUGGACAUUUUAUGUAAAUAAAGAUGUUUUCCAGCUUAAAAUCAUUAAGAACUAACAUAUGUAUUCAUCAUGAAGGUUAUUACACCAACAGGAUAACUUAGGAACACAUGAAAAAGGUUAAUAUCUCAAAUAUACAACAGAACUAAAGGUACAGGCAC
rnacentral:lncRNA from 1 species